AUUGAUCCUUUACAGGAAAGCAGAAAAAGGUGGAAUCAACACAACACUGAGCAAGUCAUACCACGUUAUUUUGAAGAAAAUGGAAUAAAACGGUACAAAGUGCAUACGAACUCUAAAGAGAGGUAUCGAAAUAAAUUAGUUGGUGCCUUUCCAAGGCUAGCUGAAGAACGGGGCAUUAUAAAUCCUCAAGAAGAAACGCAUGUAGGCGCUUCAGAUGGUAAAAAUAGACAACAUGAUAUUAAUGAACAAAUUGAAGACACGUAUCGAUAUGUAGAUAGAAUACCGUAUAACCAGGGUAAUUAUGAAAACAAGAGAAACGAUAGACUUUCAAGAAAUGAGGAUGAAAAUAGCAGUUCUGAUGAAAGCGCUAGUUCGGAAACUGAAGAACGAGAUGUCUCAGAGAGUAAGCGGGAGAUGCGGUCGCGGUACUUGGUGGAUAGGAGGAGGAGUGCAGGAGGGGGGUACGGCGAGCGGUUCGCGGCGCGGCGCGACGAGGAGCUGCUCGCGGACGGGAUGUCCUCGAGCAAACCCUGCAGCUGCCAGUCGGAACACUCCCUCGUGCCUGAGAUAUGAACAAUUGACAAGUUGAUUUUG